AAUUUUCGGGAUGCGAGCCAUAGGUCGGAACACUGUCUACGACCUUCCAGAAAGUCUGAAAAAACUCGACACACAGAUCAAACACUCGAACCUCGCAAUUUGCAAAGGUCCAGUGUAUUACAUAUAUUUUUUUCUAUUUUAGAGAUAAAGAAAAAUUAAAAGUUUGUUUCAUUACGUUAUUUAUUUUACGUAAGGAAAAAGGAAUCAAAAAUUUUUUUUGACGAAAAAUUGAGUCUGUCGACAGACCGAAAUUUGAAAUAUGUGUUUUUAUAUAUAGUAUAGAAGAUAGUUGUCAC
rnacentral:lncRNA from 1 species